rnacentral:lncRNA from 1 species
UUGUAUGAUAUGAUGAUAAUUCUAAGAGUUAAAGUCAUUUCAUUGGCUGAAUUCUCAGGCUACUGCUCCGAAAACUUGCGUCUGUAAAUUUACAACAUCUCAGUCAUCAGGAGAAGCUUGCAUUCUGGAUCAAUAUCUACAAUUCCUGCAUGAUGAAUGUAUGUAAAUAGUUUAUGUUCUUUGUAUAUUCCAUUAUUUGCCUUUCUUAAGGAAUUAUUUCAUCUGCUGCUCUUCUACAAUACUGCAGGCAUUCUUAGAGCACGGAAUACCUGAGAGUCCUGAGAUAAUUGUUGCACUCAUGCAGAAGGUAUGGAAUAUCCAAGAUCCUUGAGUUCUGUUUAUAAUUACAAAUACAAUUUUUCACAAAUUCCAUUUAUAUGUAUAAAGCAAGUGAUUAAAAAUACUUCUGCUGGUCAAUAAUUCAUACUGUUGUAUUUCUUCUUACUCAGGCAACAAUAAAUGUUGGAGGACACUUGUUAAAUGCAAUAACGAUUGAACACUUUAUCUUGAGACUGCCUUAUCACUCAAAAUAUGUAAGUAGUGUCAAAUUGUAUACACACAGAUUUUUAUUCUGGUUUUUUUCUUUUUUUUCUUUUCCUUUUGUUUAAAUUUGGGGGAGUGGGGAUGGGCAAGCAUGAAAGGAGAGGAUUUCUCAUCAAAAUUUUAACUCCUGACCAGACCUUAUCCAAGGGUACAAAAAAUGAUGAGAAGACAGCAAGAAGCAUUUUUGGAUUGGAAUUAUCUGAACCUUUGGUCACCUUUGCACUAUCAUGUGGAAGCUGGUCGUCCCCUGCUGUAAGUUUACACAUGGAAUAAAAAAAACUGUAUUUGUACAAAUUUCUUCACAGGUUCAAAGUUCCAAGCAACUGACAUCAGUAAUAAAUGGUCUUCUGCCAAAUGUAGGUGAGAGUGUAUACUGCAUCCCAAGUUGAGAAUGAACUGGAAGUGGCAAAAAGAGAGUACUUACAAGCUGCAGUUGGAAUUUCAUCAACUAAAUUUGCAAUUCCAAAACUCUUGAACUGGUAUCUGCCUGAUUUUGCAAAGGACAUAGAGUCACUGCUGGACUGGAUCUGCCUUCAGCUACCAAGUGAACUGGGAAAAGACGCAAUUAAG